rnacentral:tRNA from 1 species
ACUUGGGUGGCUCAGUCGGUUGAGCGUCUGACUUCGGCUCAGGUCAUGAUCUCACAGUUUGUGAGUUCAAGCCUCGCGUCAGGCU